CCCUCUGAUUCAUAGAUAUGCCUGAUCAGUGUUGACCCAGGGCUAAUACUACAAAUCAAAUCAGCAAUUGCCACCAUUUAAGAAAUUGAACCAAUGUUUCUCUUUUACUAUUUGCAGGAUUUGAGUCGUUUAGGGCGAGAACUUGAACAAGUGGUGAUUGUGGACAACUCACCAGCUUCUUAUAUCUUCCAUCCACAAAAUGCAGUUCCAGUCAGUUCAUGGUUCGACGAUGAAGAAGACCGGGAACUGUACGACCUCAUCCCUUACUUUGAGACCUUGGCCAACCUAGAUAGUGUAUACAGCAUGGUUAGGACCGCACAGAUGUCACCGGUUGAAGCGACAUAACACUACCGUUAACCAGCCCCCCCUAUGGACAGAACCCUUUGUCUUUUUUUUUUUUUUAUUUUUUUUUAUUUCAUUGCUAACCCUUCCUGCUGUUGGAGAAAUAAUAUCAUACCCAUGCAUACUGCUUCUUGAUGAUAACCCUUCCCUCCCAUUCCCCCCCCCCACCGAUCUUUCCCUUCUUGAUCCUUCUUUAUAAACCCCAUUUCCCCUCCCUAAAUUCUCUCCCACCCCCCACUUUUUUUACACUCCUGUCUUUGCCUCCUUUCUCUCUCUCUCAUUUACUCAUUCAUUCUCUCUCUCAAGUACAGUAUGACUGACCGACAGAAAGACAGACUGUUGUAUGGAUGGACAGCUGGACGUUACUACUUAGCUGGUUCGAGACUAUAGCAUUGUGACAGAAAAACACAAGGUUUUGGACAGCUGUCAUUCGUACACACACACAAACACACCCACACAUACACACUCCCCAAACAUGUAUAUACGCAACAUUGUAUAAAUAUAUAUAUAUAUGUAGGUAUGUAUGUAUGUAUGUAUGUAUGUAUGUAUAUAUAUAUAUAUAUAUAUGAUGUCAAAGUAUAUGCAAGGAACUUUGAAUUGAAAAUAGUAAUAGUUUUUACAUUUGGCAAUGAAUGACCACUACCACCACCACCACCUCUUUCAGGGAAAUUAAUAUUUCCUCUUCCCUCUCCUCCUUACUCUUUUUUAAAAGAAAAAAAAAUUUUUAAUAUCUAAAAUUGUAAAAUUUAUGAAGAAAAAAAACACAAAAGCAAAAAAAAAAAUUGGGGGAAAAAAAAACAUUCUACAAAAACAAAAAACAACAACAAUCAUCAAAAGCGUUGAAUGGGGAAAAAAAAAAGAACAACAACAACAACAGCAGCAACAACAAUAAUAAUAAUAAUAACGGCGACAACAAUAACUAUGAAGACUACAACAAAAACAACUUCGAUAAUAGCAACAACAACAACAACACUGUUGAUGGAAAUAAGGAGAUGAAAGAGAAGAAAAAGAAAAGCAAAGAUGUAUUGAUACAAGACCCAUCCCUCUACUUUAAAAGAUGCUGGACUUAAAACCAGAUGAGAGACCUCUCUUGGACCAAACUGGUGUAUAGUGCAUGAUUGCUCGGCCUGUUAGAAAUAACAGCCGUAUCACACUUGUCUUAAAGAAGGAAUGAAGGACAUAUUUUGGUAAUGGAUGUAGUUGUAGAGAAAUAUACUAAAGCCAGGAAGAAAAACGAAAAUGAACAUAAAGAAAAGAAAGCCCAGACAGGUUGGUCAUAGUCGGAAUGCCUUUGAUUGCUUGUGUGUGUGUAUUUAAUCGAGGUGUUCCUGGGAUGGAGGUUCGACAACAGCAACAAGAACAAUAGCUGCAACAAAACGAUUGGAAUUAAUGAACUUUUUAAAAAGUGGUGUUUGUUGUAACCUCUUCAUGAAAGGCCUUGCAAAAUGAAUUAUCGACGAAAACGAAUCGAAAUGGAAUGAAAUGAAAUGAAACGAAACGAAAUACGGACUUUUACCGUAUUAUUUUUAAAAAAUUACAUUGUUUUUUUUUUUGGUUUUUUUUUCUGCUUUUUUUUUUCAUCUCAUAGAAUGGGAUGAGUUUCUGGAGUGGAUGGCGGCGUGUGAUAUUUUUGUGAGUUGGAGUUAUAAAGAUUUUGCUCAGACACUGAGAAAGAAGAGAGAGAGAGAGAGUAUUUGUGUGUGUGUAUGCAUGCGUGUGUGCGUUUUUCUUUUUUCCCCCCCAUUUGUUACACAUCAUCUUCCCAGUCGGCCCAGCUAAACUGACGUGUCUGGAAACAAAA